CAGUAUCUUACAAGUAUAUCCCGAGUAUAUUACAAAUAAUCUCCCCCCUUUACACUUCACCCCUAGGGGUAUUUAUACAAUUUCCUACCGGACCCUGCACUUUCGGACUAGGAUCCGACCUAACGGACCCGACAUACUUGGGGUGCAACCUUUGGAGAGUUAACCGCUCGGGCUGACGGGUCCGCCCGGUCGGCCUGGUCAGGCGAGUGCCCGUGAGGCGACUUGGGCCUUCCUCUUUCGUUC
rnacentral:lncRNA from 1 species